GUGGCAUCACUAUACCAGAACUUAACUAUUCUACAGAGCAACAGUAACAAAACAGCAUGGUAUUGGCACCAAAACAGACUAGUAGACCAAUGGUACAGAAUAGAGGACACAGAGACUAACCCAUAAAACUGCAAUUAUCUUAUAUUAGACAAAGGUGCCAAAAACAUGCAUUGGAGAAAAGAGAGCCUUUUCAACAAAUGGUGCUGGGAAAACUGGAAACCCAUAUGCAACAAAAUGAGAUUAAAUCCCUAUCUCUCCCCAUGCACAAAACUCAACUCAAAGUGAAUCAAGGACUGAGGAAAAAAACCAAAUACCCUGUGUCUAAUAGAAGAAAAAAUAGGCCCUAAUCUCCAUCGUGUGUGAUUAGGCCCCAGCUUCCUUAAGAAGUCUUCUUUGGUGCAAGAAAUAAAAUCAAGAAUCAACAAAUGGGAUGGAUUCAAACUAAAAAGUUUCUUGUCAGCAAAAGAAACAAUCUAUGAGGUGAACAGAGUACCUACAUAUUGGGAGCAAAUUUUUACCCUUCACACAUCAGAUAGAGCACUAAUCUCUAGGGUAUAUAAAGAACUGAAAAAGCUAAACACCAAAUAAUAAUUAUAAUUAUAACCCAAUAAAUAAAUGGGCCAAAGAACUGAACAGACAAUUCUCAGAAGAUGAUGUACAAUCAAUCAACAAAUAUAUGAAAAAAUGUUCAUCAUCGCUAGCAAUUAGAGAAAUGCAAAUCAAAACUACUCUUUUAAGAUUUCAGCUCACUCCAGUCAGAAUGGUAGCUAAUAUGAAGACAAACAACAAUAAGUGUUGGCGAGGAUGAGGGGGAAAAGGUACACUCAUACACUGCUGGUGGGACUACAAAUUGGUGCAGCCAAUAUGGAAAGCAGUAUGGAGAUUCCUUGGAAAAUUAGGAAUGGAACCACCAUUUGACCCAGCUGUCCCUCUCCUUGAUCUACAAAGGACUUAAAAACAGCAUACUACAGGGACACAGCCACAUCAAUGUUUAUAGCAGUACAAUUCACAAUAGCUAAACUGUGGAACCAACCUAGAUGCUCUUCAGUAGAUGAAUGGAUAAAAAAAAAAAAGUAUGGCAUAUAUACACAAUGGAAUAAAAUAAAAUCAUAGUAUUUGCAUUUAAAUGGAUGGAGUUGGAGAAUAUAGUGCUAAGUGAAGUUAGCCAAUUCCCCAAAACCAAAUGCCAAAUGUUUUCUCUGAUAUAAGGAGGCUGAUUCAUAGUGGGGUUGGGA
rnacentral:lncRNA from 1 species